GCGCCGUUUGGCCGGCCGCCAAACUCCUAUCUGCCCCUGCUUCUCGCCACCGGCGACUGCCGCCGCCGCUGCGCCAUGUGGGUCCCCUCGCUCACUUCGUCCUCACCAUUCAAUCCCCUGCCGUAUACUGAGGCGGAGCAGCAGUGUGCGCCUGCUCGUCGUCUCCAUCGCCGGCGGCUGCCCGACGGAACCAGCAGCUUGCCGCUUAUUUGUCGCCCCCGACGGAACCAGCGCCCCGCCUCGUCUUCACCAUCGCCGGUGGCUGCCCGACAGAAGCAGCAACUCGCUGCCUCCUCAUCGCUGUUGGAGGUUUGGUAGCCAGUUCCUUCCUCCCUGCAGCUGCACUUCGCCUCCUCCAGCCCCAGUGUCCCACAUCGUGAGAGAGGAGAUGGGUGGAGAAUGAAGAAGAGGCAACGAGUAUCCUCCCCCACCUCUUCUUUGAAGGGGACCUGCAGGGUACCGCAGAUCAACAAAAAAACGCUUGAGUGUAGAUGAGCCACUGGAGCAUACAAGGGAGGCAAGAUCUGUCCACCACCGUCCACCACUGACCUGGCCGCCACAGAGCCGUUCUUUCAGGGCCACUAGUGCUGCUUCUUCCCGUCAUCGAUCUACUGUUACUGUGCUCCCACAUAGGAUUUGAAGGUUCAGUGGUGGUCUGUCUUUUCUCUCCCUUCAUCUCCUUUGAUUUUUAUAUGUAAUAUAUUUGUUUUUUACAUGUAAACUGGCUUGGAUCUCUGAUGGCUAUGUGCAAACGCUACCAUUGAAAACAUUUGCUUCUUGGAUUUGGGUUUUCUUUUAAUCUAUUGGUGUAUGAGGCAGACAACUUUCGUUCUUAUUUCUUGUGAUAUUCCUAUAAUCUAAGAUGCAAACUUGAUCAUAUGUUCAUGAUUUCAGCGGCUGGGUUGUGAGACUACAGAAAAAACUUUCAAUGAUAAUCAAUGGUCUGUGGCUUCUCCUGGUUCCUGUUGUGCCAGUUCAGGUGAUUAAUUGAUGAAGUAUCUGAUAUCUUCAUAGCUAUUGCAAAUGAACUGGUAUGUUGCAUGGUAAUGAGAGGUUGGAUGAUUUAUAUUGAUGUGUUAUGGCACAUGCUGAUGCAAAAAUAUUGUUAUAUAUUUUCUUCUUUUGAUACAAAGGCUUAAUUCAUUGCUUAUAGUGCACACUGCAUGGUGCAUUAGGUGAUGAUGUUAAACUUACAGUUGGGUAUUCGAAGGAUAUAAGCGUAAAUCCUUUAUCUCGGACGGUCUUUUCUUCGAAGUGGGCAUACAUGGUAUAUUUAUCUCCGCUAUAAGAAAAUCAGCAUUCCUCAUGCUCUCUGUUAUUGCAGAUGUGAAGAAUCUUUUCAGUUUCUAUAUCUAUCUCAUGUUAUUUCUUUGUAUUUACUUUUCUUUUUUUGUUGAUUUACUAAAAGUACUUCCCAUGAAAAGAAUGUCCAGGUUGUUGUGGUACACAGUGAUAUGCUAGCCGUGAGUAAGCUGGCAGAUAGAACAUUCCAAUUUUCUACGUACUCAUGUGAAGUUUGAUGCCUGGCAAGUUUUCUAUUGUUACAGUUUUUUUGUUGCCAAAUUAAAUUUUAUGUUCCUACUAUGAUAUGCCCUUGACACGAGCAAUGCUACACAUACGGAAAAUCAUUUCGGAAUUUUCUUACGGACAUCAGCCAGCAGCAUACGACGCCAGAACGUGCCCCGUGAUUCAAGGGGAGAAUCAAAGCUCAGCCAACCAAUUGAUUGCAUCUAAGUCCGUAGAAAUUUUUGUCAGCCAAACCGUCUGCAGGUGUAGGAUUAUUGCCCUUCACACCUAGAGUUGGAAAUCAAAAUGUCGAUCCAUCUUUUCUAGCCAGUUUAGAGAUAUUAUCAUUUCAUUUGUCAACUAAUUAAGUCUGGUGUCAGCUGGGUCAAGCUGGCGACCUGACUGUGGUGUCCUUAAAAUGAGCAUUUGGCGGCUCUGAAUUGCCUCAGGUGACUGCUCCCUGUAAUCCCUUCCUAAAUUGUUUCGGUUGCAGGCCUGACUAAUUCUAUGUGGUGAACAAUGGUGGACUCAUGGGGAGAUGUGCAUUUUUUACCAAACCAAUCUCGGGUUGAUUUCAUGUGCAAAGUUUUGGGUUCAUCGGUUAAUACUGCACUGGUCUGAGGGGAUCGUACCAUUUGACCAAUUGCCUACAUGCUUUCCUGUUCUCAUUAUUUUUUUGCCACUGAAUCCUCGUGAGUAACAUGGUCCCCUUCUACAGAUCCCUAUUUCUUAAUUUAUUGGAUUGCAGUGACAGAAUUACUGUGCAAUUCUUAGAUAAUUAGUGUAUUAUUGAAAUUCAGUGCGUGCAUUUUAGUAAGUUGCGCAUGUGUUCAUUGUUGUUGUUGCAAGUGGCUUGGUGAGAUAAGAUAUAUAACAAGGGGCGGUUAUAUUCUUUCCCAAAAGGCUUUACUUCAGGGUGUGUUUGGUGGCGAAUAAAAUGUUAAUUAGCCUUAUAUAUUUUGUAUGCAAGUAUGUUUUCAGAAUAUAUACAUAUCAACUUCUUGGUCUCGGGAUGACACGCCAAAUCUUUUUCAUUUGUCAAAUUACUACAGAGCUAGACAUAUUUUUUGUAAUGAUAAAUCCCUGUCUAAGACUGCCUACAUUUUAAUUUAUUCACCAAUGGAGGCAACUCUCAGACUUGGGUUUGUUGGUAUUCUAUACCAGGUGAAAAUAAUGCUCCUGAUUUACAAAUACUUUCAUCUAAUUACAACAUGAGUUCAACAUUUCCUUUACUACCUUCCAUAGUUAUUUGCAUGUACUGUCAGGUUUGCAUAAUAUUUUUAUCGCCAUGAAUUAACAUUGGAUGAAUCGAAUUAGGGAGCUUCAUUGUGGUAAAAGCCUUCCACUCCAAAUUAUAUCUUCUUAUGAAGGGAUUCAAUCAAGAUAUUGUAGUUGUGGUCGUCAAUGAACUAAAGAGCAUAGCUCGGAUAAUUAUGCAUAGUUACUUAGGUACAUAAUAUUACAGCAUAUUGAGAGUGGCCAUGCUCUGGCAGUAGUAGGUCUACAUAGUUAAUUGGGUACUUAAUAAUACAGUAUAUCAACAUCAUCUGUGCUCUGGUAGUCGUUGUUAAGUCCAUAAAAGUUUACAUUUUUUUAUGGAGAUAGUGUUGUCAACUCAAGCGUAGUUUCUUUUUUAGCUUUUGCUUAUUGAUACAAUAGGCAUGUUGCAACAUACUGUAUUUUUGGAAGAUUAUAGAUGUGUGUUGUGCAACAAACCCAAGAGCGAGAGAAGAGGUCAUUCUUUUAUCCAGUGUCUGUUUUCCUAGACAUACUUGAAAUAUCUUAGUUCAGAAAUCAGAAUUCACAGCUAGAGAUUCAGUUUAUAGUAACACUGAAAAUAUGUUAGCCUCCCUAUUUCAUAUGGAAAUCAUUAUAUUAAUGGCCUGGAGUAUUUGGUGCUGCAAUGGCCUUUUGUCAACUGUUUACCAUGCAAAAGAUUUUGUAAUCGAUAAGGACUAUCAAAGGAGGGAGUUCAUCUUAGACAUAAAUUGACCAUGCAGCCAGUAUGUUCCUAUUUCUUUCCUAUUGGAAGCCAAAAUUUUACGUGCCUAGCUGUAUUUUCUUGACAGAUUUAAUAGAAGAAUAAGAAUUGCUUUCCACAACUUUAAUUGUCCGGAAUAACCUAUCCCUAUGCUUCCGUUAUUAAUAUCCUUAUCAUGUUACCAUUUAUAGAAAAAUAAACAAGGAAUCAUUUAGUUUGCCUAACAAGGAAUCAUCUACAUUUCUGUCUGGAUAAGUAAACAUACUAUUUCUGGCUUUCCUCAAGAAAUGAUGCAGUUUUGCACGAACAUAUUUAUUUCUUGGUGUUUUUGUCCUACUCGAGUUUUGCGUUUCUUCAUAUAUAUGGAGACAAUACUCUUGUCAGUUUCUUUGCUCAAUAAUGCUCUAUAUUCCGAUGUACUUAACAAUACUAUUUUACUGUUGUAUGAGACAUCAGUUUAGUGGCAAAACUGUGAGACAUCAUUCCAUCAGAAAAGAAUCAACAACCCAGACAUUUUCACUUAGAUUUUAUCUACUAUGUGGUAAUAGUGUGCUCCAAACUGGCCAAAAUUAAGACUGAUUAUUUGUACUCUAUUGCAGGAGAGAACCAACUUCGGAUAGCUACAGGUGUCAGCUAAGAAAAUAUGUGGUGCUAUCGCAGUUGAUGUUGUCAUGGAUGCAGCUUAGUUUAGAUUGGGUUACCGCUACGUUAUGUAUACUUCCUUUCACCUGCUGGUUCUACGCUAUCGUAGAUUCAAUUGUUUUUUGUGUGCCCUAUGUUGCUCUCUGUAAAAGACUUGUGUUUCUGGCAUAUCUCAUUGUACCACUUUCUACUA